rnacentral:rRNA from 1 species
ACGCUGAAGCUUGGUGCUUGCACCGAGCGGAUGAGUUGCGAACGGGUGAGUAACGCGUAGGUAACCUGCCUCUUAGCGGGGGAUAACUAUUGGAAACGAUAGCUAAUACCGCAUAAAAGUCGACAUCGCAUGAUGUUGACUUGAAAGGUGCAAUUGCAUCACUAAGAGAUGGACCUGCGUUGUAUUAGCUAGUUGGUGAGGUAACGGCUCACCAAGGCGACGAUACAUAGCCGACCUGAGAGGGUGAUCGGCCACACUGGGACUGAGACACGGCCCAGACUCCUACGGGAGGCAGCAGUAGGGAAUCUUCGGCAAUGGGGGCAACCCUGACCGAGCAACGCCGCGUGAGUGAAGAAGGUUUUCGGAUCGUAAAGCUCUGUUGUAAGAGAAGAACGAGUGUGAGAGUGGAAAGUUCACACUGUGACGGUAACUUACCAGAAAGGGACGGCUAACUACGUGCCAGCAGCCGCGGUAAUACGUAGGUCCCGAGCGUUAUCCGGAUUUAUUGGGCGUAAAGCGAGCGCAGGCGGUUAGAUAAGUCUGAAGUUAAAGGCUGUGGCUUAACCAUAGUACACUUUGGAAACUGUUUAACUUGAGUGCAGAAG